CGCUCUUCUCUGCGGGCUCCGUCACGUCGCGGUGGCGUCGCGGCCGCGUGCAUCGCCACCACACACGCGCCCUGUUGAUGAGGUGCGCACCGUCGAAUAGACUACUUCCGUUCGUUUGCCAGGAUGAGAGAGAGAUGGAAGAAAGUGGUGGUGGAGGGACCGUUACACCGAGGUCACACCGGAAGGCACAUAGUGCGUCCUUCGCAUACGGAAAAAAAAGAUAGAUGCACAUGCUUUGCCUGCAUAUUCUCGAGCGUGAGGAGUCACCCGGCCUUUCACCUACCGUUUUCUCGCCACGCCGUGUCGCCAGCUGUCCUCCUUCACGCAUGGUGCGCGGGAUCACGGCUCGGGCUUUAGGCGGAGUUUUCGCUGGAGUGUAUGCUACGGGUCGUGCAUCAGAUAUGGCAAGGGAGGCGUGCAGUCAUGGAGUUCCGCAAAUGACUACGUGACUGUGUGAGUAGCUCUUAAAACAGCUAUGGCAGAAGGGCUACCUACAUGAGGGUGAACCGCAGCGCCAGCACACGAGAAAGAAAGGGAGCGGCGAAGGCGUAGCGCACCGCCCGGUGCGCUGCCGCACCUACAAGGUCGGCGGGGCGUGUCCCCAUGGCGUGCCCGUCAUGGCGGCAUACUCUGUCGCCCGCUUCACGCACGCGGCCGGCGAUCGGCCACCCUGCAGCAAAACACGACCCAUUGCAGGACAGCCGCCCCGCCCCUGCGAGAAACCAUCACAUUCCUUGAGGAGGAACCAUCACGACUCCGGCCCUGAGUCACGGUCAUUGCAAGAACGCUCGGGCCAUUCCAUUGCCACGUGCCCAGCUGACGCCGCGCGCCGCUCCCCGAUAGGUUUUCCUCCAUUACACACAUCGCCCGUCUCGCUGUCGUGAACCACCCUUGCAAACGCAUGCCUGAGGAGGAGGGGAGGUGGGGCGACCUCAGCUUCGUCACGGUUGACAGUGACCUUCAACCGGCAUGCCGCCUGAAUCACCGGCCCCGCUGCCUGCCUCACGGCUCGACACGUGCCUGCACUCUGCAUGCGGCCUGUCCACACAUCGACUCGCACAUGGCUAGCACGUCGAGCGGCGUUGCAGGGGGCCACCAGCCAAUCGUGCUGCCACCGCUUGCAUCGCUUCAGGGCGUAACGCUUCACCCCAUUGGCCCAACUCCCAGCCGAUAGGCCCUCCCGCCAGCGGCGCCCAACACGGCUGGGGGCAUUGGCCCUUCAGGCAUGGGUCCCGGGGAAAGGGACGCUUUCCGGUCCGCCACUCCAUCAACGUUGCACAUCACGCAGAGCCACGGCGAGCAGUCCAGAUAGACACCAGCCAUGCAUCCCUCCGCGGCCACAGCAUGAGCCGUCUUUUCAUCAGACCCUCUUCCUCACCCAUCACGGAGAGGGCGCAGCCGGCCAUGCAGCUGCGGCAGCUGCAGCGCUCAAUCAUGUCGGCCGCCCUGAGCGCUGCGCCACCUUCUUCCGACACGGUCGCCGUGCUCUGUGGGGCCGGCACGCCGGUCGGGUGGCGCACGCUAUGUCUGCCCUGCAACGACGCCUUGCGUGCAUGCCACGCGUCGAACACGGAGGAGGGAAAUGCGGAAGAGCACCCACGGAUCCUCCUCCGUGGGUGUGUCGGUCCGUGAUGGAGCUCCUCAGAGACGGCGACAUCUAUGUCCUCCCAGACCCGCCGCCACUCGCCCCAUGCCAGCAUCCGCCUCGUCUCCCGGCAGCGGGCGCGCGCGGCUGUCCAUGAAUCGGCUGACAGCCGCCUCGAGACGAUGGAUGCACGCCUCCGACACCUGCACCCCUCCCUCAGCAGCAUGGUGAUCGAGCCAUCCGCAGUCAGAAUCCCCACGUGCGCAGGACACCCGCCUUUCCACGGUCUUCGGUGCUCAUGGGAUACCCACCGGUAGUCGGCGUCAUCCGUCAGGAGCCCCGCCAAUGUUAGGCCGCGCGAGGCCUGGCCAUACACAGCUUGUUUUCCGCCAUCAGCCCACCGCAACUCAGCGGAAGCGAACCCCCUCCCCCUCUGCAGCGUCAAGACCACAGCCGCAUACACAAUAUUCCUGUUCGACGUACGUUCCCAAGCGUUGGGGGAAUCCGUAAUGAAGUGGGAUCAGUGGAAUGCGGUAAUGAUGGACAUGUGCCUUUGCCUCUCUUAUUUUUUUGUGCCCCGCAGAAGCUGGCGCAUUUACCUGCCGACAUAGAACGGGGAGGAAGAGGUAAGAGGAGAGCGCGAGAGUUCAUCGUCAGUAGUCAAUGCUCAAGACACGCCAGCACGAUC
rnacentral:misc_RNA from 1 species